rnacentral:rRNA from 1 species
CGGUGUUUAACUGGCGUGAUGUGGGACGUCCUACCGGUGGGCUUAGCCUCGCGAGGGGCGGCCCAACUAAUAUCCCGUCGCGGUGCUCUUUACUGAGUGUCGAGUCGGGCCGGUACGUUUACUUUGAACAAAUUAGAGUGCUUAAAGCAGGCUAUCCUCGCCUGAAUACUGCGUGCAUGGAAUAAUGGAAUAGGACCUCGGUUCUAUUUUGUUGGUUUUCGGAACCCCGAGGUAAUGAUUAAUAGGGACAGAUGGGGGCAUUCGUAUUGCGACGUUAGAGGUGAAAUUCUUGGAUCGUCGCAAGACGGACAGAAGCGAAAGCAUUUGCCAAAAAUGUUUUCAUUAAUCAAGAACGAAAGUUAGAGGUUCGAAGGCGAUCAGAUACCGCCCUAGUUCUAACCAUAAACGAUGCCAGCUAGCGAUCCGCCGAAGUUCCUCCGAUGACUCGGCGGGCAGCUUCCGGGAAACCAAAGCUUUUGGGUUCCGGGGGAAGUAUGGUUGCAAAGCUGAAACUUAAAGGAAUUGACGGAAGGGCACCACCAGGAGUGGAGCCUGCGGCUUAAUUUGACUCAACACGGGAAACCUCACCAGGCCCAGACACCGGAAGGAUUGACAGAUUGAUAGCUCUUUCUUGAUUCGGUGGGUGGUGAUGCAUGGCCGUUCUUAGUUGGUGGAGCGAUUUGUCUGGUUAAUUCCGAUAACGAACGAGACUCUAGCCUGCUAAAUAGGCGUACCUUAUGGUAUCGCGAAGGCCCCCGGCUUCGGCCGGUGGGUUUUUACUACCAACGUACAAACAAAUCUUCUUAGAGGGACAGGCGG